rnacentral:rRNA from 1 species
GAUGAACGCUGACAGAAUGCUUAACACAUGCAAGUCAUUGGCGAAGCUGCGCUUGCGCAGUCUAGCCAAGGCGGACGGGUGAGUAACGCGUAAGGAACUUGCCCUGCAGACAGGGAUAACAGACGGAAACGACUGAUAACACCUGGUAUUGUCAGGCUGGCGCAUGCCGGCCUGAUGAAAGGAGACGCUGCAGGGGAGCCUUGCGUCCUAUUAGCUAGUUGGUGGGGUAACGGCCCACCAAGGCGAUGAUAGGUAGCCGGCCUGAGAGGGUGAACGGCCACAAGGGGACUGAGAUACGGCCCUUACUCCUACGGGAGGCAGCAGUGGGGAAUAUUGGACAAUGGGGGCAACCCUGAUCCAGCAAUUCUGUGUGCACGAAGAAGGUUUUCGGAUUGUAAAGUGCUUUCAGCAGGGAAGAAGAAAGUGACGGUACCUGCAGAAGAAGCGACGGCUAAAUACGUG